rnacentral:rRNA from 1 species
CAAGUCGAACGCGAAAGUCCCGCAAGGGAUCAGUAGAGUGGCAAACGGGUGAGUAACGCGUGGGUGACCUGCCUUCGAGUGGGGGAUAACGUCCCGAAAGGGUCGCUAAUACCGCAUGACAUCCUGCCUUUGAAGAGGCGGAGAUCAAAGCCGGGGACCGCAAGGCCUGGCGCUUGAAGAGGGGCCCGCGUCCGAUUAGCUAGUUGGUGGGGUAACGGCUCACCAAGGCAACGAUCGGUAGCCGGCCUGAGAGGGCGGACGGCACACUGGGACUGAGACACGGCCCAGACUCCUACGGGAGGCAGCAGUAGGGAAUUGUUCGCAAUGGGCGCAAGCCUGACGACGCAACGCCGCGUGGAGGAUGAAGAUCUUCGGGUCGUAAACUCCUUUCGAUUGGGACGAACUCCUUGGGGGUUAACAGCCUCUGAGGUUGACGGUACCGAGAGAAGAAGCCCCGGCUAACUCCGUGCCAGCAGCCGCGGUAAUACGGGGGGGGCAAGCGUUGUUCGGAAUUACUGGGCGUAAAGGGCUCGUAGGCGGCCAACUAAGUCGGACGUGAAAUCCCUCGGCUUAACCGGGGAACUGCGUCCGAUACUGGAUGGCUUGAGUUUGGGAGAGGGAUGCGGAAUUCCAGGUGUAGCGGUGAAAUGCGUAGAUAUCUGGAGGAACACCGGUGGCGAAGGCGGCAUCCUGGACCAACACUGACGCUGAGGAGCGAAAGCCAGGGGAGCAAACGGGAUUAGAUACCCCGGUAGUCCUGGCCCUAAACGAUGAAUGCUUGGUGUGGCGGGUAUCGAUCCCUGCCGUGCCGAAGCUAACGCAUUAAGCAUUCCGCCUGGGGAGUAC